GACGAACGCUGGCGGCGUGCUUAACACAUGCAAGUCGAACGGAAAGGCUCCAGCUUGCUGGAGUACUCGAGUGGCGAACGGGUGAGUAACACGUGGGUAAUCUGCCCUGCACUCUGGGAUAAGCCUGGGAAACUGGGUCUAAUAAUGGAUAUGACCUUUCUCCUUAUGGGGUUUGGUGGAAAGUUUUUCGGUGUAGGAUGAGCCCGCGGCCUAUCAGCUUGUUGGUGGGGUGAUGGCCUACCAAGGCGACGACGGGUAGCCGGCCUGAGAGGGUGAUCGGCCACAUUGGGACUGAGAUACGGACCAGACUCCUACGGGAGGCAGCAGUGGGGAAUAUUGCACAAUGGGCGGAAGCCUGAUGCAGCGACGCCGCGUGAGGGAUGACGGCCUUCGGGUUGUAAACCUCUUUCAGCAGGGACGAAGCGUAAGUGACGGUACCUGCAGAAGAAGCACCGGCUAACUAUGUG
rnacentral:rRNA from 1 species